UACGAAGGAUGCAAGCGUUAUCCGGAUUCAUUGGGUUUAAAGGGAGCGUAGGUGGCCUUGUAAGUCAGUGGUGAAAUCCUGUCGCUUAACGAUAGAAUUGCCAUUGAUACUGCAGGGCUUGAGUACAGUUGCCGUUGGCGGAAUAUGACAUGUAGUGGUGAAAUACAUAGAUAUGUCAUAGAACACCGAUUGCGAAGGCAGCUGACGAAACUGUAACUGACACUGAGGCUCGAAAGUGUGGGGAUCAAACAGG
rnacentral:rRNA from 1 species